UCUGGCGCCCCCUGGCGGCCGCUCGCCUUCGCCGCCGGCGGGUGAGCGGGGCCCGGCCGGGCCGGGGCGGCGGGAGCGGGUCCGACCUCGGGGCGGCGUCGGCCAGAGGGGCCGGAGAAGGGCCGGGGCCGGAUCCCGCAGCUGCCGAAGCGGCGUCGGCGAUGCCGCGGGAGAAGGAGAGCGGAUGCCGGCGACGAGGAGAGCGGGACCGUUCCCCUUCCCGGUGGGAGGGGGACUGGGACUGGGACUGUCCCGCCACGCGCCGCCGCCUGCAAGAGCUCUAUUUCCCCGAGCGGGAUUCCAGCGGCGCCGGCUCCGAAGAGAUCCUGAAUUUCUGGGCUUUUUUCGAGCGUCUCCGGCGUUUCCAAAGCCGCAGAACCCACCCCGCGCCGCCACCCGGCCACCGCCACGCGGCAGAGCCCCCCGCCGCCACCGCCGCCCGCCUCGACCUGCCCCCCGCCUACGACCCCCGUUACCGCAUCAACCUCGCGCUGCCGAGCGCCGCCGCCGUCCCCACCCGGAAUUCCGACCUACCCCGGGAACGCCUCGCCGAAUUCCGCGCCGCCGUCUUACACUACCUGGAUUUCACCCAAAAACAAAGCUUCGCCAAACUGGCCAAACUCCACCGGGAACGAGCCGCCCUUCCCAUCGCCCAGUACCGGCAGCGUUUACUGGACGCCGUGGCCGGCAACCAAGUGGUGGUGGUGGCCGGCGACACCGGCUGCGGGAAAUCCACGCAGGUGCCGCAGUACCUGCUGGCGGCCGGUUACAGCCACGUGGCUUGUAGCCAACCCCGCCGAAUCGCCUGCGUCUCGCUGGCCAAGCGGGUGGCCUUCGAGAGCCUGCACCAGUACGGGGACCAGGUGGGCUACCAGAUCCGCUUCGAGAGCACCCGCUCGCCCGCCACCAAGAUCGUCUUCCUGACGGAGGGGCUGCUGCUGCGGCAGGUGCAGCGGGAGCCGGCGCUGCCGGGGUACCACGUCCUCAUCGCCGACGAGGUUCACGAGCGGCACCUCCACAGCGAUUUCCUCCUGGGCGUCCUGCGUCGCCUCCUGCCCUCCCGCCCCGACCUGAAGCUGGUCUUGAUGUCGGCCACCAUCAACAUCCGCCUUUUUUCGGGUUAUUUCGGGGGGGCCCCGGUGCUGCAGGUGCCGGGAAGGAUUUUCCCCAUCUCGGUCAUCUACCAACCCAUCCCUAAGGAAGAAGCAUCCCCAGCGGGAAAAUGGGGGAAAUCGGAGCGUCUGGAUCCCCUCCCGUACCUGCGGGUGCUUCAAGCCAUCGACCACAAGUACCCGCCGGAGGAGCGCGGGGACCUGCUGGUGUUCCUGAGCGGGGUGGCCGAGAUCGGGGCGGUGCUGGAGGCGGCGCAGGCUUACGCCGCCCGCACCCAGCGCUGGAUCGUCCUCCCCCUGCACAGCACCCUCUCCGUGGCCCAGCAGGACAAGGUGUUUGACGUCCCCCCGCCCGGCGUCCGUAAGUGCAUCCUCUCCACCAACAUCGCCGAGACUUCGGUGACCAUCGACGGCGUGCGCUUUGUGCUGGAUUCCGGGAAGGUGAAGGAGAUGAGUUACGACCCUCAGGGCAAACUCCAGCGGCUGCAGGAGUUUUGGAUCAGCCGGGCAAGCGCCGAGCAGCGGAAAGGACGCGCGGGCAGGACCGGCCCCGGCGUCUGCUACCGCCUUUACGCCGAAUCCGACUACGACGCCUUUUCUCCUUACCCCGUGCCGGAGAUCCAGCGGGUAGCGCUUGACGCUCUGGUGCUCCAGUUAAAGAGUAUGGGGCUGGGCGACCCUCGGACCUUCCCCUUCCUGGAGCCCCCUCCCUCGUCCAGCCUGGAGACGGCCGUGCGGUACCUGAGGGACCAGGGAGCCCUGGACGAAGCUGAAGACCUGACGCCCAUCGGGAACCUCUUGGCCCAGCUGCCGGUGGACGUGGUGGUCGGUAAGAUGCUGGUCCUGGGCGCUCUCUUCGGCCUGGCCGAGCCCACCCUGACGGUGGCGGCGGCGCUGAGCGUGCAGUCCCCCUUCCUGCGAUCCGCUCACCCCAAUCCCGACUGCGCCACGGCCCGGCGGCCCCUCGAGAGCCCCCACGGCGACCCCCUGACGCUGCUCAACGUCUUCAACGAGUGGGUCCAGGUGAAGUCGGAGCGGAGCGGCAGCUCUCGGAAAUGGUGCCGGCGGCGAGGUUUGGAGGAACAUCGGCUUUACGAAGCCGCCAACCUGCGGCGCCAGUUUCAGGAGCUCCUCCGUGACCACCAGCUGCUGGAGGAAGGCUCCAGCCAGCCCAGCGACAGCUACAGCCGGCAGAGCCGGCACCGGGAACGCCGGGAGCUGCACCGCCUCUGGCGUUCCCACGCGGAGACGGAAGGUCGGAAGCGCAAGGUGCUGCGGCUGCAGGACGGAGCGGACGCCUCCUCCGGCGAGGAGGAGGAGGGUGGUGGGAACCGUGAGAAAGGGGAGCGCAGCAUCGAUAUCCAGGACGUCAAGUUUAAGCUGCGUCACAACGUGGAGGAGCUCCAGGCCGUAUCCAGCUCGGUCCUCUCCUCCUCGCAGCUCGCCCUGCUCAAACUGGUGCUGUGCCGGGGGCUUUACCCCCAGCUGGCCGUGCCCGACCAGCUCAACAGCGGCCGUAAGGAUUCCGAUCAGAUUUUUCACACCAAAACCAAGCAGGGGGUCGUCCUUCAUCCCACCUGCGUCUUCGCUACCAGCCCGGAGCUGCUCCACGCCAAGGAGGGACCGGAGCGCGGUGGGACCAAAGACCCCGCGGAGGGGCUGAGCCACCGCCACCAGCUCCUCGCCUUUGUCUCGCUGCUGGAGACCAACAAGCCCUACCUGGUGAACUGCGUCCGGGUGCCAGCCCUGCAGGUGAGCUCUCUGCUCCCCUCCUCUUCCUCUCCGCGAGCCUUCGUCACCCCACACUGGUCGUGUUUUGCUCCUCCAGGCUCUCCUCCUCUUCUCCCGGUCGCUGGACACCAGCGCCGACUGCGCCCGGCUGGUGGCCGACGGGUGGCUGGAGGUCACCGUCCCCGACGCGGACUCUGCCCUGCGCCUGCUCUCCGCGGCCCUGCAGCUUCGUUCCGCUUGGGAAAAACUCCUCCAUCAACUGCUGGAAGGUCGAGGAGAGGAAUCGAGCCUCCGGCCGAGCUCCCGGGACGUAUCCGCGCUCACCCGGGGGCUGCUGGACUUCCUGCAGAUGAAGGUGCCGUAUCGCCUGCGCCAGCUCACCGGCCUGGAGAAACAGAACCUCUACGUCGGUCCCCAGACGGUGGCCGCCGCUCCCCGCCUCCCGGGGCUCUUCCAGGGGACGGAGAUGAAGCCCGACGAGGUGAAAGGCGGCCACAGGGUGACCGAUUUCCUCACCUACAACUGCUUGGCCACGGACACGGACCUCUACAGCGACUGCCUGCGGAGCUUCUGGACCUGUCCCCACUGCGACCUCCACAUGCCCUUCACCCCCCUGGAGCGCAUGUGUCACGAAAGCGCUUGCCGGCCCCCCGAGGCCCCCCCGGAAGAACCAUUGGAAAACUCUUCCAAAAUCUCCGCCCUGCACCGCUCCUACCACUGCGACCUUUGCCAGCGGGAUUUUACCUUCACCCCCACGGAAAUCCUCCGGCACAAGAAACAGCACCAAUAACCGGGGCUCGUCGGGAUGCUCCCGCCGGCCGGUGCCGAGCACCGCGAUGCCGGGAUCCUCCCCCAUCCCUCGGGGACCCCCGUAACUGGGGGGGAUCCCCCCGCCCCCCCCCCCCAAACUACCUCCGCUGCUUUUGGGUGAGUCUGGCUGGAUGCCCGAAAGGGAUUUGGUGUUUUGGGGGGGGCCGCUAGCGGCUCCUCAGUCGUCCUCGGGUGACGGCAACCUAAUUCCAGGACUUUUUUUAAUCUUAAAUAAAUAGAUUUUUGGAGAAUAACGGCGGGGGGGGGAGGUGUCUCUUGGAGGUCUCCUGCCUGGCGCAGCGCGGCCAGUGUGUGGCACUCCUCUACCGGCGUCAUCCCUUCCUCCUCUUUUCCUGCUCCAUCCCAUGGGAAAAGCGUCGGAGGGGCUCGUGCCUGGACUUUCCCACCGCCACGACUCCCCCCCCGCCGCGGCCGAAACCCCCCAAUAUUAACAAAACGUGACCUCAGCGUCCCUUUGGAGGACGCUCGCGCCCAACGCGGCGAGAAGCCGCCGCCUGGACGCUGCUGCGAGACGAGAGGUUGCCUUACGAUUCGUGGCUGGCUCCAGGGCGGGUUUUUUUGGGGCGGAAAACACCUGGGAAAAGGCAAAUUGCGGGCUGGCUUGCGCCCGCCUGCGCCAGGCAAAUGCUGCGACGACGGCAACUUCUCGGCUGUCUAAACUCAUUGAAAACGCAUUAAUUAUCAGGCCGUGCGCUGCGUCGGGGAUGCCAACGGCCGUUGGGUCCCCGAUUCCCGUGCCACGAGGGACUUCACCUUCUCCACCUGAUCCCGUUAAAUGCCACCCGCGACCAGCCCGGACCCGCUCCUCAGGUUUUCCGUUCGUCAAACCCAACGUUCUCACCCUCUUAAAACAAGAAGAACCCAAUGGCCCUCGGCAAAUAAUCGUUAAGGGCUCAUAAAGCGCAAAGCGGCUCUUGACCUGAAGAAAACACGUUAUCGCUUCGCCUUUAGCGCCACGGUGAGGCCGCCUUGCUUUUAAACGAAGCUUCGAGCGAGCCGUUUACAGAAUAGAAAAUUAAAUAAGGCCGCCCGCCGUGGCCACGGAGGAGUGGGAUUAAUUUACUUCGCUAACGAAAGCCACGAAUUCAAGUCUUGGAGAAAGCCAGACCAAGGGCAAGGCGCUAAUCCUCGUAAUUUCACCGUGUGGCACCUACGCCGAGGCCGAUAACGCCGCGAUCCCACCCUGAUGGGCACCGACGCCUUUCUCCCCUCUGGUUUUUUUUUUGACCUUUUAAUGACCGAAAUCAUUUUUCCUUCUGGAUAAAAGUUGUUUUAUGGAGCUCCCGGCGCCCAAACGGGGACGUUUUGUCUCUUUGCGCUCAACCGGGACAUCCCCAUCCUGCCCGUGAAGCUCCUUGGAAGGUUGUUUCGGAGCGUCCACCUCAAGCCAAGCUCCGUCCUCAGGUGGGAAAAGUCCCGUCAUCGCCCAUCUCAUGGCAGCCUGUUCCAACGGCUAAUUAACCCGCCAGCUAAUUACCCGCGGGUUUCUUUUCUCGGCUGAAUUCCUGAGCUUUGAUUCCCGCCAACCGGCAUUGUCUUUGCUGGGUAAGACGGAGACGGAGAGGGCCGUUUCUUGGGGAGCCAACGACCCCCACGUCAAACCGUCUCGUAAUUAGCGGCGGACGAAGCCUGACGAGCCCGGAAAAAAAAAAAAGAAAGCUUAGAGCUUCAGUGAAAAUAAAUAAAUAAUAAUUAAAAAAAAAUCGUUAAGAAGCAGAUGAGAUUUUUUUCCCUUCGCAAACGAACGCUUCGUCCCAGCGACGGCGAGUAGAGAGCGGUUUUUUUUUUUUUUUUUUGUUUAUUCGUUUUUAUUUUGUUUAUUCGCAAUUGCCCGGCCGCCCUCUUCGCCCCUGCGGAACGACCGCGUUUAUUCUUCGCGAUGGUUGGUUUUUGGUUUUAUUGUUGUUUUUUUCCCCCGCAGGCGGAGGCGAGCCCGUUGGCCGCUCAUUGAAACCCACCGCCCGUCGUUUGGGGAAUAAUUAGAUUAAUUUUUCGAGAGGUCGAGCAGGAGUGGGGGGCGCGGCGGGGUCGGUGUCUAUUAAAAAUGAGUUUGGAGAAGGUAGAAGGAUGCUCUCCCGGCGUGCGGCUUCAGCUCCAUCCCAGCGAACCUCAUCCCAUCCCCUUCGUUCCUGGGCACCUUUC